ensembl:lncRNA
GGGGGAUAUGAACUGGCAUUUUAACAAAUAUCAAAUUAAAGAAAAGCACACCACCGCAGCUCGCGUCAGGGAGAAGCCGCCGGUACUUAUUAAAGAUCCUGAGACCUAGUGGCAGGAGGGACCCUACGACUUGUUCACCUGGGGACGGGGAUACGCUUGCGUGUCCACGCCCUCAGGCCUGAGAUGGGUCCCUUCGAAAUUCGUCAAGCUGUACGUCCCGCGAUCCCAGUCCAAAACAUCGGUUGGUCCUCAGGUGGCGCAUGCCAAGUGGUGGCAAAAGCGCAGGUCCUCCUACAGUUCCCUUACCCAAUCCUUCUCUGAUCCAUCCCUCUCCCCCUUUCCCGAGACCGAAGUGGCCAGUCCCUUUAACCUUGACCUCCCCCUGGACCUUUUAUUUACUGAAGAUUAAUCCCUCUCUCAGUUGUUUUUCAGUUACCCUGCAGUCCAGCCAUCCCAACAUGAAACAUCACUUAAUCCCCAUCCUUCUCGUCAUCCUGUCGACCAUCAGACCCCAAGUCGCCUGGGUCGUGCCUCAGCCGCCGGCCAACGUGUGGACCACGUUGGCCAAGUCUUCAGAUCAAGAUCAAUUAUGUUUAUCUACCACCUCUGCAGCCAACCCUUUCCUUUCCUGCCUCGUGGGGAUCCCAUAUCCAUUAGGUAACCUCCCUUUCACCUUCCCCGUGAACUUCUCCUUACCCCGAAACCGGACCGGGAUUUUCAGUGUCCAGAUUUUAAAGAAAUCGGACACUUGGAGAUCCUGGGUCCGUCAAUUUGCAAUCACUGAAAACGAACCACAAGAAUUACAGCUCCUUGGUUCCUCCCUUGCCUAUACCUAUGUUCAUUUCGUAGUAUCCACAUCCAAUCCCUUUGCCCAGCCCUAUGAAGAGGUAAAACAAUCAAUCAAAGAAUAUGCAGCUAAGCAAUGGUGCACCAAGCUAAUCCAAAUCCCCGGUUUCCCCACCCCCGAUGAUCAACCCCAGCAACUUCCUAAGGGCACCUUUCUGAUUUGUGGUAAUAGGGCUUGGGCAGGCAUCCCCUCUCGCCUAAUAGGAGGGCCAUGUACUUUCAGGCAGUUGAGCCUUUUCGCACCUAACAAAACUCAAAUUGCUCAUUGGCAAGACCAAAAUCGGACAGGUCAAUUGGUACGUACCAAAAUAGACACAUCAUUUGCUGAUUUGGAUUCAAAUUGUGAUGAUGAAGUUGUUCAUUGGGCUAAACCAAAAGGCAUGGCUACUAUUGCCUUUUUACCCUGGGUAGCCAUCGCCCAUGACUUCAGGGAAUUGGCCAGCCUGGAGUGUUGGGUGUCUAAAAGAGCAAACUUUACAUCAUCUGCCAUCGCCGACCUCCUGUCAGACGAGAAAAUAACGAGGCAGGCUACCCUACAGAACCGUGCAGCAAUUGAUUUUCUGUUACUUUUACAUAAUCAUAAAUGUGAAGAAUUUGCCGGUUUGUGUUGUAUGAAUUUGAGUUCGAAGGCUGAGAACGUCCGGACGACCUUAGAUAAGAUGCAGGACAUGAUGCGCCACCUGAAAAGACAAACAUCAGAUUGGUUGGGGUCGAUAUUUGAAGGAUGGGGACUGGAUGGCUGGGUCCAAUCAAUUGUUAAAACUGGAAUUUAUGUUGUUUUAGCCCUUGUUGUGUUUAUCAUUGGUUUUAGU